rfam:Takifugu rubripes chromosome, Chr_22
GGCUCUGUGGCGCAAUGGAUAGCGCAUUGGACUUCUAGUCAAGUACAUGAAAAGUAAUUCAAAGGUUGUGGGUUCGAGUCCCACCAGAGUCG